rnacentral:lncRNA from 1 species
UAAAAGUGUACAUAUAAAAUCUCAAAUAAACUAAUUUAUAGAAUAUAUAGCUGUUAAAAAUAAUGUUUUUCGAAAUAAUAAAAUUUUGUAUUAUAAUAUAAUCCAACAAUCCCGCGCUUUCCAAGCGCGGGUCAAAAUCUAGUGUUUACUUAAACUGCUAUAGCCAAACCAUAAGCUGAGACUGUCAUUUUCUUGACUGGUACCUCACUAUCAUAUCACAAUCAACUCUUUUGUGCCCUCAAUUCUAUAGCCGGACUCGCAGUUCUCACCUGUAUCGAACACACAAAAUCUCAGUGUACCAACGAAUCAUAAAGGUACCAUUCAAGAUAAGAGAUAUUCACAAUCCCAAACCUUUGUAUCUCUUUUAGCAAAAGAUAACACUGCUUAAAUAUGUUAAUGUAUUUUUAACAUCAAUCUCAUCAUAAGAGACGGAGUAACUACUACCAAUGAUGACAAAAGCGAUGAAAAUAACUAAUACUUCCUUCUGUGUAUCUAUUUAUACAUGGGCAAAUACAAUCAUUAUAGAACAAAACAUUGAUCAUUCUCAAUGUUUGACCGCUCUCUGAAUCAGACAAGGUAUAAUCAAGGCAACAAACACAUAGUCAGAGAGAAUUAGCAAGCAAUCAGCUAGGAAAUAAGAUAUAUGAUGGGAACACACCGAGGAUAAGAUCUGAAUUGUUGUCUUUGUCCAGAAAAAAACUACCACUGGGAAGAACACGUAGCAGUCAUAGAAGAACAGAGGAUCUCGGCGAUCAAAGGGCUUGAGAAUAUGGGGGAUGAGAAAUCAAGGAUGUUGUAAGAGAAAAACAAAACCCAAUGUGAACGAUUGAUUAUAGAGAAAAGGGGAAUUGAGCUAGGCUACAAUAAUGCAUAAUUAGGUUGGUAGACAAUUGCCCUGGCUUUUCUAUACAAUUUUAUGUAAUGUUGCU